ACGGGUGAGUAACACGUGAGUAACCUGCCCUUGACUCUGGGAUAAGCCUGGGAAACUGGGUCUAAUACCGGAUACGACCAUUCCACGCAUGUGGUGGUGGUGGAAAGCUUUUGUGGUUUUGGAUGGACUCGCGGCCUAUCAGCUUGUUGGUGGGGUAAUGGCCUACCAAGGCGACGACGGGUAGCCGGCCUGAGAGGGUGACCGGCCACACUGGGACUGAGACACGGCCCAGACUCCUACGGGAGGCAGCAGUGGGGAAUAUUGCACAAUGGGCGCAAGCCUGAUGCAGCGACGCCGCGUGAGGGAUGACGGCCUUCGGGUUGUAAACCUCUUUCAGUAGGGAAGAAGCGAAAGUGACGGUACCUGCAGAAGAAGCGCCGGCUAACUACGUGCCAGCAGCCGCGGUAAUACGUAGGGCGCAAGCGUUAUCCGGAAUUAUUGGGGCGUAAAGAGCUCGUAGGCGGUUUGUCGCGUCUGCUGUGAAAGACCGGGGCUCAACUCCGGUUCUGCAGUGGGUACGGGCAGACUAGAGUGCAGUAGGGGAGACUGGAAUUCCUGGUGUAGCGGUGAAAUGC
rnacentral:rRNA from 1 species